GAUUAAUUAGUGAAAUUCACAUCAUUAUUUCAUGAUGAAAAUAUUUAGACC
rnacentral:tRNA from 1 species